rnacentral:rRNA from 1 species
AGUGAACGCUGGCGGUAGGCCUAACACAUGCAAGUCGAACGGCAGCACAGUAAGAGCUUGCUCUUACGGGUGGCGAGUGGCGGACGGGUGAGGAAUACAUCGGAAUCUACUUUUUCGUGGGGGAUAACGUAGGGAAACUUACGCUAAUACCGCAUACGACCUACGGGUGAAAGCAGGGGAUCUUCGGACCUUGCGCGAUUGAAUGAGCCGAUGUCGGAUUAGCUAGUUGGCGGGGUAAAGGCCCACCAAGGCGACGAUCCGUAGCUGGUCUGAGAGGAUGGUCGGCCACACUGGAACUGAGACACGGUCCAGACUCCUACGGGAGGCAGCAGUGGGGAAUAUUAGACAGUGGGCGCAAGCCUUAUCCAGCCAUACCGCGUGGGUGGAGAAGGCCUUCGGGUUGUAAAGCCCUUUUGUUGGGAAAAAAAAGCAGCAGGUUGAUACCCCGCUGUUCUGACGGUACCCAAAGAAUAAGCACCGGCUAACUUCGUG